GAUUAACGCUAGCGGCAGGCCUAAUACAUGCAAGUUGUACGGGAUUAUUGGUAGCAAUACCGGUAUGAGAGUAGCGCACGGGUGCGUAACACGUAUGCAACCUACCUUUAACUGGGGAAUAGCUCACCGAAAGGUGAAUUAACACCGCAUAAAAUCACAGAAGGACAUCCCUCAAUGAUUAAAUCUCCGGAGGUUAAAGAUGGGCAUGCGUCCGAUUAGCUAGUUGGCGGGGUAACAGCCCACCAAGGCAACGAUCGGUAGGGGGUCUGAGAGGAUGAUCCCCCACACUGGUACUGAGACACGGACCAGACUCCUACGGGAGGCAGCAGUAAGGAAUAUUGGACAAUGGGGGCAACCCUGAUCCAGCCAUGCCGCGUGAAGGAUGAA
rnacentral:rRNA from 1 species